GGAGCCUCACGCGCCUCUUACCUAACAGGAAGUUGGGUGGAAGCAGCGCGGACCCACGGCGCACCGAACGCACUCCAACAGAACCCGACGCAGACACGCGCUUUCAACCGGCGGAGACACUGGCAGGGUUUAUAUGUGGAAGAGACUUGCCCUGUCUCAGCUCUGCUGCCCCCUGCCCCAUACACGUGAUGGAGCAGAAAACGUGCUGUGUGAACCUGUGACUUCAGGGCCUGUUGACGUGGUCGUGCUUGCAUACUCUCUGGACUGGACCUCACUGUGGGAACAACAAGAUCAACAAGAGGAGCAAGAACAACAUCAAGAGUCAGGGCCCGGGGGUCCUGACGGGUACAGGAUGGGUACAGACCCACACAGGAAUCCCAGAGUGUGUUCCACAGCAGGACACGCCUGCGCUGAAAGAGUGGGCAGAAAGGAGCUGACCUGGGAUUAUGAUCCAAACUCAGCUGGGCCUCCCCUACCUGCCCCAGGAUUGUGGAGUGAGAACGUUGCAGCAGGGGAGAACAACGCAGCAAAGCACAGCAGGGGAACCGGAAAUGCUCACCCUUUGACAGGGUACUUUUAGUUCUGGGGCCUUAUCUUAAGGAUAUUCCAACAUAUACAAAAAGAUUCAUGCACAGAGAUAUUUACUUUAGUAUUAUUUACCAUAGGAAAAAAGUUGGAAACAAUACAUUUUAUGUUCUGUAAAAUGAAAGAACAGUUAAAUAAAUCAUGGCUCUAAGACGACUCCAGGGCUGUGUACGGAAGUUCAGGGACUGAAUCAGUUGAGGCUGUUCCACCUGAGCCUAAGCUUCCUCUGCUGUAUGUCAGGAAUCAGGUGGGGGCCAAGCGAGAUCACCACAGUGCAGGCCAGUGUGCAGGGCACAGGUGGGCGCC
ensembl:lncRNA novel transcript